rnacentral:rRNA from 1 species
UACGUAGGGUGCAAGCGUUGUCCGGAAUUUAUUGGGCGUAAAGAGCUCGUAGGCGGUUUGUUGCGUCGGCUGUGAAAUCCCGAGGCUCAACCUCGGGUCUGCAGUCGAUACGAGCAAACUAGAGUGUUGCAGGGGAGACUGGGAAUUCCUGGUGUAGCGGUGAAAUGACGCAGAUAUCAGGAGGAACACCGGUGGCGAAGGCGGGUCUCUGGGGCAACAACUGACGCUGGAGGAGCGAAAGCGUGGGGAGCGAACAGG